UACGUAGGGUGCGAGCGUUAAUCGGAAUUACUGGGCGUAAAGCGUGCGCAGGCGGCUUCGCAAGUCAGACGUGAAAUCCCCGGGCUCAACCUGGGAACUGCAUCCGAAACUGCCUUGCUCGAGUAUGGGAGAGGGAAGUGGAAUUUCCGGUGUAGCGGUGAAAUGCGUAGAUAUCGGAAGGAACAUCAGUGGCGAAGGCGACUUCCUGGACCAAUACUGACGCUCAGGUGCGAAAGCGUGGGGAGCAAACAGG
rnacentral:rRNA from 1 species